rnacentral:sRNA from 1 species
CUUGAACCCGGAAGGUGGAGGUUGCAGUGAGCCGCGAUCGUGCCACUGCACUCCAACCUGGGCUAUAGAGUGAGACUCCGUCUCAAAAUAAAAGAAGAAAAAAAAACACACAAGAGUUUAAACCUGAAAUGACAUGAAGACUUAGGAGACUGGUGAGAGAGAAUCAAAGAAAGUUGUGUCACUGCACUGUGGAGUCUUGUGGUGAUUGAAGUCCGUUCAGCACAGGUGCUCAGGACCUGUGGACUUGGGCAGAGGGCAUUGUAAGCAGCUAGAGAACAAGAGAGGGCUGAGACAGCUUAUCUCUGCUUGACAAGGCCCAGCAUUAUGGCCUACAUCCUGCUGGGACAAUUCCUUCUGAUGCACAAGAAUGAAGCCGAGUUUCAGAGGUGGCUCAUUUGCUGUUUUGGUGCCACUGAGUGUGAGGCCCAGCAGAGUUCUCACUGCCUCAAGGAGUGGUGUGC